rnacentral:rRNA from 1 species
UUGCUCUUCAACGAGGAAUGCCUAGUAAGCGCGUGUCAUCAGCAUGCGUUGAUUACGUCCCUGCCCUUUGUACACACCGCCCGUCGCUACUACCGAUUGAAUGGCUCAGUGAGGCCUUCGGACUGGCUCGGGGAGGUUGGCAACGACCACCCCGAGCCGGAAAGUUCGUCAAACUCGGUCAUUUAGAGGAAGUAAAAGUCGUAACAAGGUUUCCGUAGGUGAACCUGCGGAAGGAUCAUUACUAAGUAACGGAGGCUUCGGCCUUCUCACUACUUAACCCAUGUCUUUUGCGUACUAUUCGUUUCCUUGGUAGGCUUGCCUGCCAUUAGGACACUUUACAACCCUUUGUAAUUGCAGUCAGCGUCAGAAAAACUAUAAUAGUUACAACUUUCAACAACGGAUCUCUUGGUUCUGGCAUCGAUGAAGAACGCAGCGAAAUGCGAUAAGUAGUGUGAAUUGCAGAAUUCAGUGAAUCAUCGAAUCUUUGAACGCACAUUGCGCCCCUUGGUAUUCCGAGGGGCAUGCCUGUUCGAGCGUCAUUACACCACUCAAGCUAUGCUUGGUAUUGGGUGCCGUCCUUAGUUGGGCGCGCCUUAAAGACCUCGGCGAGGCCUCACCGGCUUUAGGCGUAGUAGAAUUUAUUCGAACGUCUGUCAAAGGAGAGGACUUCUGCCGACUGAAACCUUUUAUUUUUCUAGGUUGACCUCGGAUCAGGUAGGGAUACCCGCUGAACUUAAGCAUAUCAAUAAGCGGAGGA